CUUGGAACCAAUAUGACUCAUGAAAGUAAAGCUUCGUGGGGACAAGAAAUGGAUGGGCAAUAUUAAACUUGGAUCCCUUUAUUCUACUGCUACACAUGGGGAGCGGCAUUCUUCAGGUUCACCUCUGAAAUUCUCAAACUAAGUCUAAAUGUUAUUAGAUUAUUCACUACUGAUCGAAGACAGAGCCAAAACUUGUAGUAAACUGAUAUGAAUUGGAAGGUCAUGUCAGCUUGGCUAAGGUAUCACAUAUAGCUGAUAAGCCAUCCGCAUGGGAGAAUUUGAUUCUCUGUUUUUCCAGUCAGGGAAUUUUCAUAUUGGAGAAGAUUAAUUACCCCCAUCCAUCCUUUUGUUUUUCUUCUUCCUGUCAUUUCGUACUAUCUUCACUUGGUUUUUUUAUUCCUUUUUUUUUUUUUACCUUGAUUAAUCUUUACAGAAUUUAUAUAUGGAAAUGAGUUUACAUUUGUGAGGACUUGCAUAUCUUGCUUUAAAUUGACUGAUAUUCUUCAGUAGGAAAUUCCUCCAAAUCAUGGUUGUAUCGCACACCAUGAAUUGUAGAUUCAAUGAACGAAUAACAAGUGGCUUUGAUUACACACUUAGCACAACAAACGAAAGGACGAAAAUUUGGACAACUUGCAACUUCAAGAGAAGUAGAUUUCUUAACUGUGAGUUGUACUAAAAAAAAUCUACGUUUUUAUUUGUGAAUACAACCUAGUUGUGAUAACAUAUACAAACAGGAUGUAAAACGACAUUGAUUCAAUACAAAUCAAAGGAAAUUAGAAUCUUUGUA